UACGUAGGGUGCGAGCGUUGUCCGGAAUUAUUGGGCGUAAAGAGCUUGUAGGCGGUCUGUCGCGUCUGCUGUGAAAAUCCGGGGCUCAACCCCGGACUUGCAGUGGGUACGGGCAGACUAGAGUGUGGUAGGGGAGACUGGAAUUCCUGGUGUAGCGGUGAAAUGCGCAGAUAUCAGGAGGAACACCAAUGGCGAAGGCAGCUCACUGGGACGGUAUUGACGCUGAGACGCGAAAGCGUGGGGAGCAAACAGG
rnacentral:rRNA from 1 species